UACGAAGGGGGCUAGCGUUGUUCGGAAUCACUGGGCGUAAAGCGCACGUAGGCGGAUCUUUUAAGUCAGGGGUGAAAUCCCGAGGCUCAACCUCGGAACUGCCUUUGAUACUGGGGAUCUCGAGUCCGGGAGAGGUGAGUGGAAUUCCGGAGUGAGAGGUGAAAUUCGUAGAUAUUCGGAAGAACACCAGUGGCGAAGGCGGCUCACUGGACCGGCAUUGACGCUGAGGUGCGAAAAGCGUGGGGGAGCAAACAGGG
rnacentral:rRNA from 1 species